GAUGAAGAACGUAGCGAAAUGCGAUACUUGGUGUGAAUUGCAGAAUCCCGUGAACCAUCGAGUCUUUGAACGCAAGUUGCGCCCGAAGCCAUCAGGUUGAGGGCACGUCUGCCUGGGCGUCACAUAUCGUUGCCCAAUGCCUAUUGCAGUGCAAUAGGAAUUUCUAGGGCGAAUGAUGGCUUCCCGUGAGCGUUGUUGCCUCGCGGUUGGUUGAAAAUCGAGUCCUUGGUAGGGUGGGCCAUGGUUGGUGGUGGUCGAGUUAGAACGAUACCGAUCAUGUGCAUGCUCCCCAAAAUAUGGCCUCUAUGACCCACACACGUCUUUUGACGCUCAUGACGAGACCUCAGGUCAGGCGGGGCUACCCGCUGAAUUUAAGCAUAUCAAUAAGCGGAGGA
rnacentral:misc_RNA from 1 species